GGCGGGAAUAUAACAAUAAGACGAGAAGACCCUAUGGAGCUUUAAUUAACCAGCCCAAAGAGAUCUUAAUAACCAACCGACAGGGUAUAACAAACCUCUACCAUGGGCUGACAAUUUAGGUUGGGGUGACCUCGGAGAAUAAAACAACCUCCGAGUGAUUUAAAUCUAGACUAACCAGUCGAAAGUAUUACAUCACUUAUU
rnacentral:rRNA from 1 species